rnacentral:misc_RNA from 1 species
GGACUACCCGGGUUUCUAAUCCCGUUCGCUCCCCUGGCUUUCGCGCCUCAGCGUCAGUUUUCGUCCAGAAAGUCGCCUUCGCCACUGGUGUUCUUCCUAAUAUCUACGCAUUUCACCGCUACACUAGGAAUUCCACUUUCCUCUCCGAUACUCUAGAUCAGCAGUUUCCAUCCCAUCACGGGGUUAAGCCCCGAACUUUUAAGACAGACUGACUGAUCCGCCUGCGCGCGCUUUACGCCCAAUAAUUCCGGACAACGCUUGCCACCUACGUAUUACCGCGGCUGCUGGCACGUAGUUAGCCGUGGCUUUCUAUUCCGGUACCGUCAAUCCUUCUAACUAUUCGCAAGAAGGCCUUUCGUCCCGAUUAACAGAGCUUUACAACCCGAAGGCCGUCAUCACU